UACGUAGGGGGCAAGCGUUGUCCGGAAUCAUUGGGCGUAAAGCGCGUGUAGGCGGCUCGAUAAGUCUGCUGUGAAAGUCCAAGGCUCAACCUUGGGAUGCCGGUGGAUACUGUCGAGCUCGAGUCCGGGAAGAGGAGUGUGGAAUUUCCUGGUGUAGCGGUGAAAUGCGCAGAUAUCAGGAGGAACACCAAUGGCGAAGGCAGCACUCUGGGGACGUGAC
rnacentral:rRNA from 1 species